UGACUAAUACUUGUGGGUUACAUUGUGUCUGUCCUCUUUAGGAUGAAAGUACAAUGGGAUUUAUAUAUUUAGAUAUUUUUCCUUUGUGUGUGUUGGCUCACAUGUUUCUGCUUCUAUAUCUCAAUCUUGAUUUGCUUUCUACAUUGUUGAGUCUACUGGUGGUGUUGAACACUUAAUUCAUUCUGCAGCUCUAAGACUCUCCUAUUCAGACCCAGAGACUGACCCAGGAUUAGGGCUAAAUCUCUCAUUAAAAGCUUCUGAUUUGUCCGUUUCCUGUGUAACCUCUACCUUUUCCCAAACAGCGGAAGGAUACACAACUCCUUUUUCCUCAGCAGAGUGAAUAAACCACUGAAGUUGUGGCAACCCCACGGCUUGUCCCUUUUUGCAUGAUUUUCACGCUAUCUUUGCAUCACAGGUAUCUUCCCACACCCAAUUCUACCACAGUCCCUUUAUCCUCUGAAGGAUAAGCCAUACACUUUGAAAUGUAAGAUCAGUCCAAUUCUGUGUUUCUGUUUUGAAGAAUCUGUGUUUUAGGGGACUCCUGAUAUCAACGCCUCAGGCUUCCAAGGGAAAAAUAAAUGCACGCUUGAAAGGAUGAUUGGAAAGGAACGAAAGCACAGUACAAGGAGCCACUGAGUCUCCUGGAGUAGCCUGGGGGUAGCAGCACAGUGAAGCAAUUACGACCUUUGGUUUUCAUGAAAUGAGAGGCAAGAGCCAUUCCUGGAUCCUAAGAGGAAUCAAGCUACAAGCAGAAAUCACCAGGGAGCAUAUAUGGUGUCCAUGGCUGCAAGCUCAGUGGCUCAAGACACGGAAGAAACAAAACUGAGAUGCAAAUGUGUGUUAAUGGGGCCUGCGGAGUCAACAUUGGUCAUCGUGAGGCCUGAGUCUUCUGGGUGCAUUGUGCAAGGCACAGGAUCAUAACAGGCAUCCAUGAAGGGAACAUCUUUGCAUCCCCAAACCUCCCACUGAACUUCCUGGCCACCAUGGACUGAAACUUCUGAAACCGUAAGCAGUGCACACCAGCAUUGUGCUCUCACCUCUGUCUCAGUGUCUCCCAUCGCUUGUACCCUGUGUUCUCCUGGAUCAUUUGCAGGAACAUCGGCUUACCUUCUCUACCAAAGCGGGCUCUCCUCGGUACCUCAUAAGGGCAUUCGCUGCUCUCUACCCAGAGGGUCCUUUGCAAUCGGUGCCUGACUGGCUUCCUCACGCAGCAAGACAGGGUUAAAACACGAAUUCUGAAGACCCCCCCCGACCACGUGACCUACCAUGAGCUCUUCCACUCAUCCGCGAUACGCCCUUCUUUAUUACUUACAGCACUUGUCAUUUCCAAGGUGUUUUACUGGUUUUUGGAGCUGCUUCCCUAGUAGACAUUAAUUCAAUAAAGGAUAAUAUGAAAACGGAAACAAUCAUUCACCUUCAGGAUCUUCUCAUACAGCAUUAAAUCCAUGAGAAGGAAUUGUAUUCUUUAUUCUUAGGGCCAGGGAUUUAGCUCACUGGUUUAACCGCCCGCCUUGCAAGUGUAAGGACCCGAG